GCUAGCGUAGCUUAAUACAAAGCAUAACACUGAAGAUGUUAAGAUAGGCCCUGAAAAGCUUCGCAUGCA
rnacentral:tRNA from 1 species